rnacentral:lncRNA from 1 species
AGUCACCUGCAGCAGAUACCUUUCCCAGCAGCUCACACCCCACCCCUGAGCACGUACCGCCCCUCGGGAAUCGCUGCUGCUCCCUCCAGAGCCGGCCUCGGCCGCGCACAGGUAAGACUGGGCUGGCUCUGCCCAGGUACGGCGGCGCUGCCCGGCUCCGGGCUGUGCUCCGGGCUCCGAGCUGUGCUCCGAGCUCCGGGCUGUGCUCCGGGCUGUGCUCCGAGCUCCGGGCUGUGCUCCGGGCUCCGGGCUGUGCUCCGGGCUCCGGGCUGUGCUCCGGGCUCCGCUCCGGGCGCCGGGCUGUGCUCCGGGCUNNNNNNNNNNGGCUGUGCUCCGGGCUCCGCUCCGGGCGCCGGGCUGUGCUCCGGGCUGUGCUCCGGGCUAUGCUCCGGGCUCCGCUCCGGGCUGUGCUCCGGGCUCCGCUCCGGGCUGUGCUCCGAGCUCCGGGCUCCGAGCUGUGCUCCGAGCUGUGCUCCGGACCCUGCUGUGCACCCCGCGGGGCUGCUGCAUUCACUAAUGAACUGUCAGACUCCCGAGGCCCGGCCGGGGCAGGGCUGCAGCGGGGCGGCUCCGGGCGCUGAGGGCGGCGGUGCCUGUGAAGCGGCGGCGCCGCGGUGCCCUAAGGGGCGCCCGCUCCAGCCCCCGCUCAUGCCGCUCUCCCAGGCCGGGUCGCGGGCAGGGCUGGAGGCGCGGCGCCGGGAUCCCUCGGGAUCCCUCCUUCCUUCGCUCCCCGCUCCCUCCCCAGCAGCGCCCCAGCCGCUCCCAAAUGGCGGCGGGGCGGGGCGGCCGAUCGGCAGCUCGGCGCUCCCGCGCCAGGCGAGGAGGCGGGAGCGGCGGGCAGGCGGGCGCAGGCACGGCGUGGAGCGCCGAGCGCGCGAUGGGCGGGGAUAAAUGUCUGCCUGGGCGCGGGGCCGCCAUUUUCUCUGAGGCGCGGAGCGAGCGGCGCCGGGCGGGACCGGGGCGCGGGGGACCCGCCGGGGGCCCGGGACACAGGUACGGGCGGUCCGGCAGCGCCAGGGCCGAGCGGGAGAACCGCUCCCUGUAUUUCCUCUCCUCGCAGCGCUCCGUUCC